ACCGGAGCUAAUACCGGAUAAUAUUUUGAACCGCAUGGUUCAAAAGUGAAAGACGGUCUUGCUGUCACUUAUAGAUGGAUCCGCGCUGCAUUAGCUAGUUGGUAAGGUAACGGCCUACCAAGGCAACGAUGCAUAGCCGACCUGAGAGGGUGAUCGGCCACACUGGAACUGAGACACGGUCCAG
rnacentral:rRNA from 1 species